rnacentral:tRNA from 1 species
GGUUAUAACUCAGUGGUAGAGUGCUUGCCUAGCAUGUGUGAAGCACUGGGUUCAAUCCUCAGCACCA